rnacentral:rRNA from 1 species
GUGCCAGCAGCCGCGGUAACACGUAGGAUCCGAGCGUUAUCCGAAUUUACUGGGCGUAAAGCGUGUGCAGGCGGUUUGGUAAGUUGGAUAUGAAAGCUCCCGGCUCAACUGGGAGAGGCUGUUCAAAACUACCAGACUAGAGGGCGGUAGAGGGAGGUGGAAUUCCCGGUGUAGUGGUGAAAUGCGUAGAUAUCGGGAGGAACACCAGUGGCGAAAGCGACCUCCUGGACCGUUCCUGACGCUCAGACACGAAAGCUAGGGGAGCGAACGGGAUUAGAUACCCCCGUAGUCC